AUGGAUCACCUUGAAGUUGUAGAAAGCGUAGGAGCUAGCUGUGGGCUUAUACUAUUUUGGCGGAACCCUGUUGCAAUUGAAAUUUUGGACAGGUCAAAGAACUAUAUUGAUGCUAAAAUAGGUACAUCGACGGAGGAGAAUUGGAGGUUCACUGGAUUCUAUGGUGAACCAAAGUGGGAGGAUAAACAUUUGUCAUGGGAUUAUCUCAAAAAUCUAUAUCUGCAAUCGUCUCUUCCAUGGGUUGUUGCGGGUGACUUCAACGAAAUCCUAUACUCUCAUGAGAAAGAAGGAGGUGCUCCGAGACCAGUACAUAUGAUGCAGAAUUUCCAAGACGCACUGGUUGAAUGUGAAUUGGACGACAUGGGCUGCACGGGUGAGCUUUAUACAUGGAGGAGAAGACGCCCGAAGGAACGGUUGGACCGUGCGGCCUGUAACGCUGGUUUUCACGGCCUGUUCCCACAUGCAGUAAUAACGAAUGCACCUCACACUAAAUCUGAUCACAGGCCGCUGGUUCUCGAUACAGAUGGAGAGGCGGGCAGCACUAAUAGUGGUCAAAGGUUGCAUCGCUUUGAGGCAAGCUGGCUGAAAGAGAAUGAUGUGAUGGAUAGGGUCACAGAGGCAUGGAACCGAAUGCCUAACUCGGUGCCAUUGGUGGAACAAACAGCGGCAGUUCACUUGGAGCUGCAUGAAUGGGACCGAAGAGUACUCAAGUCCCCCCCAACACCGAUUAAAAAAACUGAAGGAGGAGCUGGAGACUUUGCGACCAGGGCCACUCACUGA
rnacentral:rRNA from 1 species